CGCCAUAUUCGGGGAGUAACCACUGGGAUAUGGGGAAAUGACUUACUGUGGGAAGUGCUUGAGAUAGGUCAAAGGGAUGGCGAAGAUAGAUCCCUAAGCACGCAAAGACUGUCGGGU
rnacentral:ncRNA from 1 species